GCCCCCAUAACUUAACGGACAAAGUACAGCUUUGCGGAAGCUGGAAUGGAGGUUCGAUUCCUCCUGGGGGCACCA
rnacentral:tRNA from 1 species